UGAUCCUGGCUCAGGACGAACGCUGGCGGCGUGCUUAACACAUGCAAGUCGAACGUGAUUUUUGUGGAAAUUCCUUCGGGAAUGGAAGUGAAAUGAAAGUGGCGAACGGGUGAGUAACACGUGAGCAACCUACCUUACACAGGGGGAUAGCCGUUGGAAACGACGAUUAAUACCGCAUGAGACCACAGAAUCGCAUGAUAUAGGGGUCAAAGAUUUAUCGGUGUAAGAAGGGCUCGCGUCUGAUUAGCUAGUUGGAAGGGUAAAGGCCUACCAAGGCGACGAUCAGUAGCCGGUCUGAGAGGAUGAACGGCCACAUUGGAACUGAGACACGGUCCAAACUCCUACGGGAGGCAGCAGUGGGGAAUAUUGCACAAUGGGGGGAACCCUGAUGCAGCGACGCCGCGUGAGCGAAGAAGGUUUUCGAAUCGUAAAGCUCUGUCCUAUGAGAAGAUAAUGACGGUAUCAUAGGAGGAAGCCCCGGCUAAAUACGUGCCAGCAGCCGCGGUAAUACGUAUGGGGCGAGCGUUGUCCGGAAUUAUUGGGCGUAAAGGGUACGUAGGCGGUUUUUUAAGUCAGGUGUGAAAGCGUGAGGCUUAACCUCAUUAAGCACUUGAAACUGGAAGACUUGAGUGAAGGAGAGGAAAGUGGAAUUCCUAGUGUAGCGGUGAAAUGCGUAGAUAUUAGGAGGAAUACCGGUGGCGAAGGCGACUUUCUGGACUUUUACUGACGCUCAGGUACGAAAGCGUGGGGAGCAAACAGGAUUAGAUACCCUGGUAGUCCACGCCGUAAACG
rnacentral:rRNA from 1 species